rnacentral:rRNA from 1 species
UGGUAGUNCACGCCGUAAACGAUGAGUGCUAGGUGUUAGGCCCUUUCCGGGGCUUAGUGCCGGAGCUAACGCAAUAAGCACUCCGCCUGGGGAGUACGACCGCAAGGUUGAAACUCAAAGGAAUUGACGGGGGCCCGCACAAGCGGUGGAGCAUGUGGUUUAAUUCGAAGCAACGCGAAGAACCUUACCAGGUCUUGACAUCCCGAUGCUAUUCUUAGAGAUAGGAAGUUACUUCGGUACAUCGGAGACAGGUGGUGCAUGGUUGUCGUCAGCUCGUGUCGUGAGAUGUUGGGUUAAGUCCCGCAACGAGCGCAACCCUUAUUGUUAGUUGCCAUCAUUAAGUUGGGCACUCUAGCGAGACUGCCGGUAAUAAACCGGAGGAAGGUGGGGAUGACGUCAAAUCAUCAUGCCCCUUAUGACCUGGGCUACACACGUGCUACAAUGGUCGGUACAACGAGUUGCGAGCCGGUGACGGCAAGCUAAUCUCUGAAAGCCGAUCUCAGUUCGGAUUGGAGGCUGCAACUCGCCUCCAUGAAGUCGGAAUCGCUAGUAAUCGCGGAUCAGCACGCCGCGGUGAAUACGUUCCCGGGCCUUGUACACACCGCCCGUCACACCACGAGAGUUUGUAACACCCGAAGUCGG